AGCGAACGCUGGCGGCAGGCCUAACACAUGCAAGUCGAACGAACUCUUCGGAGUUAGUGGCGGACGGGUGAGUAACACGUGGGAACGUGCCUUUAGGUUCGGAAUAACUCAGGGAAACUUGUGCUAAUACCGAAUGUGCCCUUCGGGGGAAAGAUUUAUCGCCUUUAGAGCGGCCCGCGUCUGAUUAGCUAGUUGGUGAGGUAAUGGCUCACCAAGGCGACGAUCAGUAGCUGGUCUGAGAGGAUGAUCAGCCACAUUGGGACUGAGACCCGGCCCAAACGCCGACGGGAGGCAGCAGUGGGGAAUCUUGCGCAAUGGGCGAAAGCCUGACGCAGCCAUGCCGCGUGAAUGAUGAAGGUCUUAGGAUUGUAAAAUUCUUUCACCGGGGUCGAUAAUGACGGUACCCGGAGAAGAAGCCCCGGCUAACUUCGUGCCCGCCGCCGCCGUAA
rnacentral:rRNA from 1 species